CAUUACUAUUAGACUUCUCAGUUGCACCUUUUAAUACUUAAAUACGGUUUAUAUCUAUGGUGGCCCUUAACAAAGAUGUUUACUAUGAUUUUGUCGGUAGGCUUCUCCAUAUGGAAGUUUUUACACUGGUUUACAGAAGAGUGCAAUUAAUCUCCAGUGUGACAUUUCAGUAUACAUAGGACUGUAAGUUUUGUGCAAUGGCUUUAUAUUAAGAACGACUCCUUAAGCACUUUGUGGCCUUUUUUGUGGGCUGGAAGGGAGGGAAGCUUGUGAUUUUUUUUUUCCAUGUUAAGAUUCUGAAAUAUUGGUAAAGAAUAUUAGUGUUCAAAACAAAAAUUGUUCACAAAAGUAUUUUUUUCCUGAUUCCCAUAUACUAUAAGAGAAACUAUGUCUCGUCUAUUUACUCAUGGAAUGUGUUAUAUAUCAUUUUGGAGUUCUAUGUGUUAUAUCUAUAAAUAGUUUUUCUUGUAAAAGUUUCUAAUGUACUCUCUUCAUUGAUAAUGUUCUCCCCACUGAACAACUUUGGUGAGCCAUUGCAAGGUUCAACAUGGAAAUGUAGCAGUUUUCCUCUGCCAUCAGCAUUGAAGCACAGUGAUCUCCUAAUUUUCCUUUAACUUUAAAACUGGAUAUUUUUGAGGUGCUUUGAUUAGAAAUAGAGUAUUCCAGUCAAUUUGGAAAUCAAAAGUGAAUUAAAUGUAAUAAUAAUUGAUACACUUUGAACUAAUUUUUACCUUAAUGUAUUUAUUGAAAAACACUGAAAAAGAGGAUUUUUCUAACUCAUAUUCAUAGACAAAGUCUACAUCAUGAAUGUAUUUUAGCCUUUCUGGUGCCACAUAAUGCUACUUAAUUAAUUACAGUGCCAUAUGCCCCAUGAGUGACUCAAAACAUUAGUUGAAUUGAAUGUGGAACAGAGGCUCUUCAUAUCAUAAUGGGAUUCAAUAAAUACCUAAAUGAUAACAACAAAACUAAUAGCUAACAAAACCUUACUUAGUUACUUCAAGUUAAAAGAUGAGUGCUGUUUAAAGAUUAAAACAGGUAUUCUAAUCCUGUAUAAAUUAAAUUUGCCUUUAAUGCAUGCAUACAUACAACAUUUAAACAUUGUAUUAUGUAUGUAACCAAAAAAUAUAGUAUAAUAAUCUCUUGCUGUGUUGUACUACUUGAAAAAAACAACAAUGAAUUCUGAUGCUAAUUGACAGUUCUUAUGUCAGAUUUUCCAAAGCACAAUCUCCAGAAGGAAAGUUUAUGUGUAGAGAUAUAUUAGGAUUAAAUUAUGUAGGAAAUACAUAUACAAAAAUUUUGUUUACCAGAGCUUUAUUAAAAGUUUCCACCUCUUUUGGUUUUUAUUGAUUUUAAUUGCAGAAACAAUUUGUCAGGCUAUCAGAGUGUUUGAAUCAAUUACCCCCUACUCCCCCCCUCCUUUUUUUUUUUUUUUUUUUUUACCAUGUCUCAUAUUCUGUCUUCUGUUUGUCAUUAGAUCAUAAUAUAUGAUUUCAGGGAUAGAGACAGCCAAUUAGCAUUCUUCAGGAUGUACCUAUUUAUAUGUAAUCCCCAUGGAAAUUUAGUAUAUAUGUGAUUAUAGGUAAAAUAUCAGUCCAGGAAUAACAUUCUGUAGUACUCUAAUAGAACAGUAGGUGGGACUCUAGUAUAUACUGGGUCAUAGCAUAGAAACAGAUGCAUGAGUUUUAUUGUCCAAAUUUGAGCUUUUUUGGCUAUAAUCAUAGUAUGAAUCCAUGAAACAUGUGUACACCAAAGCUUUUUCUUCUCAUUAUGGAUAAGACUUUGUGGAACAAACAUUACAAAAAGUAGCACCUCAAAAAUUAAUAACUUAAAACCACAAUAGAAGGAAUAUCAUUGGAUUAUGUAAUGGCAUUGACUCCUUAUAAAUCGUGACACAAGAUAUGAAACACCAUAAUUACUACAUUGGAACCAGAAGACUUUGGGUAUUACAAAGAAAAAUGGUGUUUAAUCCACCUUUAAUUGAAGUAUAAGUAUUUCUUUAAAGUUUUUAGAAUGGCCUUAAAUUAUAUUUAAAAAAAAAUACAUGUAUGUUAUAAUUAUUAACUUUUUAAUGUUAAUUCAGCCAAGCUAUCCCUUCAUCUUUUGGUAUUGUGUUAGUUGUUUACAUAACCGUCUCCUGUUCUGUUAGUAUUGUAGGGACACCUUUGUGAUAGCAUACUUCAUCCCUUUCCUAAUCCAGCAUUGAUCAUGACUUUUAACAUUCCUGAGACAUUACUUCCAAAGAAUUUAAAUUGGAAAAAAGACAUUUUUGUAUAAAACUCCAUAAAAUGAGCCCAGAAAUAUCCUUGGGUAAAUGUACUCUUUUCUGUCCUACCCUGCCACCAUCUCUUCUUGCUUAUCCUUCAUGUUACUUAACCUCUGCUCAUUUUUUAUUACUCCUUCCAGGAACUGAAAAUUGUAAUAUCACUUAGGAGUUUGUGUAGUUUUUUCUUUUUUGUCUUUACCCCUACAUAUGUGAAUUUUAAAAUUAUGACCUGUCAGUCAUAUCUAAAUAGUUGACUCCAUGAAAGUUGAAGUACUUUGACAUUCUUGUGAGGUUUGCUAUUCUUGCAUCUACGUAAGUGGCUGUAAAUUGUGUGCAUAUACCCUAUAUUUAUGUUAUCUAGCUGACAUUUGUUUGGACUGUUAAAAUUCAAGAAUUAAAAUGCUUAUGCAAAUACGUGACUUGCUUUUGCUACUAUUUUGUAAAAUUCGUUAUCUGGCACUUUGAAAUUUUAGUUAUACUUUCUUAGGAUUUUAAAUAGAGCAAAAAUGGCUGCUGUUCCUUUACUUCAAGA
ensembl:lncRNA